UGUUGGUGGGGUGAUGGCCUACCAAGGCGACGACGGGUAGCCGGCCUGAGAGGGCGACCGGCCACACUGGGACUGAGACACGGCCCAGACUCCUACGGGAGGCAGCAGUGGGGAAUAUUGCACAAUGGGCGAAAGCCUGAUGCAGCGACGCCGCGUGAGGGAUGACGGCCUUCGGGUUGUAAACCUCUUUCAGCAGGGAAGAAGCGCAAGUGACGGUACCUGCAGAAGAAGCGCCGGCUAACUACGUGCCAGCAGCCGCGGUAAUACGUAGGGCGCAAGCGUUGUCCGGAAUUAUUGGGCGUAAAGAGCUCGUAGGCGGCUUGUUGCGUCGGAUGUGAAAGCCCGGGGCUUAACCCCGGGUCUGCAUUCGAUACGGGCAGGCUAGAGUUCGGUAGGGGAGAUCGGAAUUCCUGGUGUAGCGGUGAAAUGCGCAGAUAUCAGGAGGAACACCGGUGGCGAAGGCGGAUCUCUGGGCCGAUACUGACGCUGAGGAGCGAAAGCGUGGGGAGCGAACAGGAUUAGAUACCCUGGUAGUCCACGCCGUAAACGUUGGGAACUAGGUGUGGGCGACAUCCAC
rnacentral:rRNA from 1 species